AGCGCGCGCGACGGGGCUGAUGCCAGCGGGACAGCGGGGAGCGGCGCGGCGGAGCCCGGCGGGUCCGGAGCUGACAGCCCCAACAAAACUUGUUCUGGGAGCGCCGGCAGCCCCGCGCCGCCUCACAGGCUCAAGCCCAAACUUCGAGUCUGUGCAGGAGGCGGAACCAGAGCCGCGGGGAGCCACGCCAACUCCGACCUGGGCGACAGGCUGGUGGCUUCAGUCCGCAGCCUGUCCGAGAGGAGCCUGCGGGGGGGCUCCGCCGCCAGAGGCCACAUGAAGCCGCUCGGCUUGAAGGAGAUCCUGGGCUACCUGAGCAGCCAGGAGCGCCUGUCGGAGGAGAAACUGACCCGAGGCAAAGUCAAAGUGGUCAUGGAGCGAGAAGUGGCGAGGGGCAGGCUGCGCAGGACGCGCUGCGGGAACAUUACUCUUCCUCUGAGGGGGAUGGUGCUGGAGGAGCCGCUGCCCAAGAAUGCGACCGCUGACAGACUUGCGAAGAGCGCACUGCAGGACAGACACACGGCCAAAAAGCCGCCGUCGCCCUCUCGCAGAGAGAAUGAGCCAAUGGAAACAGAGGAGCGGGGAGAGAAUGAAGAAGAAGAAGAGGAGGAGGAGGAGGAGGAGGAGGAGGAUGAUCCCCGGAGUUCUGAUGAGGAGGGAGGACUAUCCCUGGUAGCCAUGACAACCGAACCAGGGCUCAUUGAGAAAUCCAGAGAAGAUGCUGAGAUCCAGACAGCAUCAAAGCAGGAGAGUCCCCAGCAGCAGCAGCAGCAGGGUGGCAAAGAGACUUCCACGCCCGAUUUCCACCCUAAGACCGAGCCUCCACCUGCUCCGGGAGCGCCGCUCUCACAGUGUAAUGGCACACUGGAGGACAGAGCUUUUUCCCCUGAGCAGCUACAUAUGGAGACGCAAAAUGGGACCCAGCCAGAUGGCAUAAAUCACUCAUCGUCGGGCUUUAACAGUGAGUCCCGCUCUUUGCGAUGCUCUCUGAAUUUACGACAUUGUGGUGUUUGGAGUCACAGCUGGCUGUGA
rnacentral:lncRNA from 1 species